CUCUGUCUUUCCCACCUUAGGAGCCUGAGGGAAGCAGGAACACUGAAGAUUCAUGUUAAACACAGUGUGGAGCUGCAACCCUCUCAAGAGCAGUGAUUCAGAAUGAGGUAAGAAAACUUGUGGAGGCAAGUCCUUUUCAACUCUUUAGGGUAGGAAAGUGGUCUGAGGUAUGCAUAGCAGGAAUUAUUUAAUAGAAAUUUUCAGUCUUGGAGAUGGAGGGGACUUCCAGAACAAUCUAGUCCAAACUUUUUGUUGCCAUGGAUCUCUUCUUUAAACAAAAGCUUCAGAGAGCCCAAAGUCAAACCCUUAUGAAAGCAAGAUGGCUCUUGUUGCAAAAGUGGGGGGGAGGAGGGGAAAAGAAAUCUAAUUUAUAAAAUUAGAAAAUUUCAAAAGAGUAUCAUGGAAGAAAACAUUUUCAUUUAUGUUCAUAUCAUAGGCUAAAGAAACAUUGAUUAGAAAAAAAUACAAUGCCCCAAAUACAUUUAACUUAGAAGAGACUUUGGAUCUGUAGGGGCAUUUUCAUUGGGAGACAUGAGAACAGGGAUGUCUUUUAGUGACAUGAAAAGGAGUCUUGGAUGAAAACUUUAAGGGUUACAAGACUGUGCUGGGCUAACUUAAAACAAUGUGUCUUACAGUACCACCAGGUGGCGCCCGCGUUCGGCAUUUUGAGAACGUCUGGAUUUCUUCUGGCGAGUCACAGGGCCUUGUGCCUUUUCAGGUUUAGAAAAUCUGAUUGGGCUUCACGCUCAAGAAAACACAGUUCUGUGGUUUAACCUCCUUCGCUCUCACUUUCAUUCCAACUGUCGAAGUGCGCUUAACAUCAGCGUUAUUAAGGAGUGUGAAGUUUUCAGAAAGGGGCGAGGGAAAAAAAAAACUUCUCCAAACAUACUAAAGAAAAGGAAGAGUCUUUCAAGAAGUCUGGUGCAGGAGGAGGAAGGCUGGGCUUUUGAAACUUUAAUUCAGGGUUCACCACUGGAUGAGGAAGCACGGAGUCUCUGGUCUCAAGUUUCCUCAUUGGUAAAAAUGGCUCUUUGAGCUCUAUUAUCUGUGGCAUGCUGAUGCAGGGAAGUUAGACAAACCCCAGCUUCAAUUCUGGAUCCCAGUUAUAACUUUAAAACAGCGAUAACAUUUGGC
rnacentral:lncRNA from 1 species